rnacentral:rRNA from 1 species
AGAGAAUAGAUACCCUGGUAGUCCACGCCCUAAACGAUGUCUACUAGUUGUCGGGGAUUCAUUUCCUUGGUAAACGCAGCUAAACGCGUGAAGUAGACCGCCUGGGGAGUACGGCCGCAAGGUUAAAACUCAAAGGAAUUGACGGGGACCCGCACAAGCGGUGGAUGAUGUGGAUUAAUUCGAUGCAACGCGAAAAACCUUACCUACGCUUGACAUGCCAGGAACUUUCCAGAGAUGGAUUGGUGCCCGAAAGGGAACCUGGACACAGGUGCUGCAUGGCUGUCGUCAGCUCGUGUCGUGAGAUGUUGGGUUAAGUCCCGCAACGAGCGCAACCCUUAUCCUUAGUUGCUACGCAAGGGCACUCUAGGGAGACUGCCGGUGACAAACCGGAGGAAGGUGGGGAUGACGUCAAGUCCUCAUGGCCCUUAUGUGUAGGGCUUCACACGUCAUACAAUGGUCGGUACAGAGGGUCGCCAACCCGCAGGGGGAGCCAAUCCCAGAAAACCCGAUCGUAGUCCGGAUUGCAGUCUGCAACUCG